CCUACGGGAGGCAGCAGUGGGGAAUAUUGCACAAUGGGGGAAACCCUGAUGCAGCGACGCCGCGUGAGUGAAGAAGUAAUUCGUUAUGUAAAGCUCUAUCAGGAGGGAAGAAAAUGACGGUACCUGACUAAGAAGCCCCGGCUAACUACGUGCCAGCAGCCGCGGUAAUACGUAGGGGGCAAGCGUUAUCCGGAUUUACUGGGUGUAAAGGGGGCGUCGGCGGCAGUGCAAGUCUGGAGUGAAAGGCGGGGGCUCAACCACCGGACUGCUCUGGAAACUGUACGGCUGGAGUGCAGGAGAGGUAAGUGGAAUUCCUAGUGUAGCGGUGGAAUGCGUAGAUAUUAGGAGGAACACCAGUGGCGAAGGCGGCUUACUGGACUGUAACUGACGUUGAGGCUCGAAAGCGUGGGGAGCAAACAGGAUUAGAUACCCGUGUAGUC
rnacentral:rRNA from 1 species